CCACCUAAGAUAUUUAUUAACGUCUCUCUGCCCAUUCAAUCUUCUCUGACCGCUCUCGCCAUCUCUAUCGAACCUCUUUUACUGUUAGAUCUUAAGUUGGGAAAUAUACAUCAUUUGUAAUCACGACUUUAGCAACUACGGAAAAGCCAUCGCUUCGUUUUUUCAGGUAGAUGCUGAAAGUCGGCAUGGAUGUGAAUAUGAGUUUAGUAUCUCCUUGAUGAUGCUUUUGCAAUGCAUAUUGAUGCAGCUUUUAGUUACUUGAGCUUAAUUGCAUGAAAAAGCUUAACAAAGUGAAUGGCUGCUGUUAUUGAGUUCGCUCUGAAAUUGGGACCUACAACAACAACAACAACAUCCCAGUGAAAUUGGGACCUACAUAUAGGUUUUUCUCUUCCUCCUGUUAUUCUAGCUUCAUUCAUCAAUCAGUAUGGAUCAAAUUGCUGAGUCAAUUUUGUUUAAAGAAAGCAUGUUCUCAUUGUUUAUAAGAAAGCAAGUUAUGUAAAUAUCAUAUUAUUUUCUCUAGGCAAGUAGCCAUUGUUCGGAUUUUUUCCUAAUCACUAGUAAUGGGUGAAUGGUCAUGAAGACAUGGGAAUACCUACUAUCUGCCUUUCAAAAAGAGCAAUAAUGUUGCCAUUGCAGAAUGAAAACCAGUAAUGCAUGAAAGAGGCGGAAAGUUUGUUCUGGACUACAUACAUCGCCAGCUAGAGACAAACAAAAGGUAGUAGCCGGAUUGGAGAGCAAAUUAGACAGAAUCUGAUAUUACUGCACUUUAUGUGGGGUUUUUAUUGUUGUAAAUCUUAAAUCUUUACAGUUCAAGUGAUUGUUAAAGCAAUGUGACACUGAGAAAUGGGUGUAGAUAAGAUUUAAAACUGUUCAAGAGGAUUUGGGAUUUGAUUUUGAGUUACCAACCCUUCCAUCCAAUUGUAGUUAUAGUGUCACAAUGACAGAUUUGGGGACACAACCUAAGCAUGGCUUCAGAUUACUGUUCAGUUCAGAACAAAAUUUUGUUCCGCUGCAGUAUAGGUGA